rnacentral:rRNA from 1 species
GACGUAGGGGGCCAGCGUUGCUCGGAAUUACUGGGUGUAAAGGGUUCGUAGGCGGUGUGGCAAGUCGGGAGUGAAAUCUCUGGGCUCAACCCAGGGGCUGCUUCCGAAACUGCCGUGCUAGAGUGUGGGAGAGGCGCGUGGAAUUGCAGGUGUAGCGGUGAAAUGCGUAGAUAUCUGCAGGAACACCCGUGGCGAAAGCGGCGCGCUGGACCACUACUGACGCUGAGGAACGAAAGCUAGGGGAGCAAACAGG